rnacentral:rRNA from 1 species
GACGAACGCUGGCGGCGUGCCUAAUACAUGCAAGUCGAGCGAAGUUUUUCUGGUGCUUGCACUAGAAAAACUUAGCGGCGAACGGGUGAGUAACACGUAAAGAACCUGCCUCAUAGACUGGGACAACUAUUGGAAACGAUAGCUAAUACCGGAUAACAGUAUUUCUCGCAUGAGAGAUAUUUAAAAGUUGGUUAUGCUAACACUAUGAGAUGGCUUUGCGGUGCAUUAGCUAGUUGGUGGGGUAAAGGCCCACCAAGGCGACGAUGCAUAGCCGACCUGAGAGGGUGAUCGGCCACACUGGGACUGAGACACGGCCCAGACUCCUACGGGGGGCAGCAGUAGGGAAUCUUCCGCAAUGGGCGAAAGCCUGACGGAGCAACGCCGCGUGAGUGAAGAAGGAUUUCGGUUCGUAAAGCUCUGUUGUUAGGGAAGAAUGGAUAUGUAGUAACUAUACAUGUAAGAGACGGUACCUAACCAGAAAGCCACGGCUAACUACGUG